ACCCGCUGAACUUAAGCAUAUCAAUAAGCGGAGGAAAAGAAACCAACAGGGAUUGCCUUAGUAACUGCGAGUGAAGCGGCAAAAGCUCAAAUUUGAAAUCUGGCGUCUUCGGCGUCCGAGUUGUAAUUUGGAGAGGCAUCUUCGGAAUGGUCACCGGUCCAAGUUCCUUGGAACAGGACGUCACAGAGGGUGAGAAUCCCGUGUCUGGCUGGUUGUACCAAUCCAUGUGAAGUGUCUUCGACGAGUCGAGUUGUUUGGGAAUGCAGCUCAAAAUGGGAGGUAAAUUUCUUCUAAAGCUAAAUAUUGGCGAGAGACCGAUAGCGCACAAGUAGAGUGAUCGAAAGAUGAAAAGCACUUUGAAAAGAGAGUUAAAAAGUACGUGAAAUUGUUGAAAGGGAAGCGCUUGCAGCCAGACUUGCCUGUAGUUGCUCAUCCGGGUUUUUACCCGGUGCACUCUUCUAUAGGCAGGCCAGCAUCAGUUUGGGCGGUUGGAUAAAGGUCUCUGUCAUGUACCUCUCUUCGGGGAGAACUUAUAGGGGAGACGACAUGCAACCAGCCCGGACUGAGGUCCGCGCAUCUGCUAGGAUGCUGGCGUAAUGGCUGU
rnacentral:rRNA from 1 species